rnacentral:misc_RNA from 1 species
AACGCACAUUGCGCCCAUUAGUAUUCUAGUGGGCAUGCCUGUUCGAGCGUCAUUUCAACCCUUAAGCCCUCGUUGCUUAGCGUUGGGAGCCUACCGGGAAACUGCAGAGUUUUCCGGUAGCUCCUCGAAGACAGUGGCGGAGUCGGUCUCACACCCCAGACGUAGUAAACUUUUGUCUCGUCCGCGGUUGGGCCGGUCCCCUGCCGUAAACCCCCCCAAAUUUCUAAAGGUUGACCUCGGAUCAGGUAGGAAUACCCGCUGAACUUAA